rnacentral:miRNA from 1 species
UCAGAUCUAACUCUUUUGGCAUU